GCUCGGGUGGCGGAACCGGCAGACGCGCCAGCCUUAGGAGCUGGUGGGGCAACCCGUGGGAGUUCAACUCUCCCCCCGAGCA
rnacentral:tRNA from 1 species